ACUAGAGAAAGCCACGCGCAGCAAUGAAGACCCAACGCAGCCAAAAAUAAAUAAAUACAUUUAUUAAAAAAAAACAAAAACAAAAACAGCAAACUACAUUUGCAUCCCUUAACUAGGGAAGGGCAACCAUCAAGUUUCAAGGAAGCAUCUGGACUGCGGACGCUGUCCAUUAGCCUUGUAACUUUAAAAGGAAUUUAUCAAAUUUAGCAAAACAAGUGACAACUAACCCUGCAAUCAGGAGACCAGGAGAAAGGGAGUAAAAGAUGGCUCUGGCUGCACACCUAGUCGGGGCUGCGGCACCCAGAACUAGGAAGUUUUGCUCUCCUCUGGGUUUUGUCCCUCCCAGAUUUCUGAGCUCAGGAGCAGUCGCUCUGCACUGCAGCUUGAGCCAGUUGCGGAAGACCUAACCAAGCCCAGCCCAAAAGAAGGAACGGCUUCGGGGCUGUUUGUUUCUCUUUGAUAAAGGAGCCCUUCCUUGUUCUUGCUUUUACUCUCUCUGGUAUUUGAUGCAACAACCCCCCAGAAACGAUUUAGAGUGACUGGUAAAACAAAGUAUACCGAAACCUCGCAGCAACCAAAAGGAUGAAGUUCCUUCUAGACUGCCUCCAGCUUCUGCCCUUCUGCUCAUCUGCACCUUAAGAGUCUCUCCUGAAGCUUUUCAUUCCGAAGAAGAGAAAAGCAGUCACCGGAGAAAUCGUCCUGAUUACUGGAGCUGGACACGGAAUUGGGAGACUGACUGCCUAUGAAUUUGCCAAACUUAAAUGCAAACUGGUCCUGUGGGAUAUAAAUAAGGGAUCAAACCCGUGCCCCCUGAAUUUGGAAUGUGAAGUCUUAACCACUGGACCGCCAGGGAAGUCCCUGAUCCCUCUAUCUUAAUCAUAUGGAAAAAGUUAAAGCCGGAUACGAGUUCGGAUUCUCCUCCUGUCAAGUCGAACGGAGCUCGGUUAGUUCCUGCUAGGGUGGAAAUAAAUCAUAUCAUGGCUAGUGGUCAUGAUGGGAAGAUCGAUCAUAGUUGUUCUUGUGUUGUGGUGAGGGUGAAAGACCCGUUUAUUAAGAGUACAGAUAAGAGGAUAAUUGGUAGUGUUACUUCAUCUGAGAUCUUUGUGCUCCUGCUCGUAGGGCCCCAAUUAGUGCAUAUUUUGAGUUGGAGGCACUGAACAGUUCAGAGUGUUCAGAGUUACAUAUAUAUGAAACGGAAUCUCUGUCUUGUACACCUGAAACUAAAACGACAUUGUAAAUCAACUAUACUUCAAUAAAAUUUUAAAAAAAGAAAAGAAAAAGAAACAGAAAUAAGCAAGAGGAAAGCAGUGAAUUAAGGCAGCAGUGCCCCUCUAGCUGAAGGAACCUAAAGGAGAAGGAACUUCAAAUGGUGGCUUAGAACCCCAGUUUAUAAAGCAGCUUCAACAAAGAGUAGUGCGUUUGUAGACGAGAGAGAGGACAUGGGAAGCAGGUUUAGGCUUUCAAGGGCAGCAAAAUGUGGGAAGUUAAAUCCACAGAAGAGAAUUAAUGGAGUGAGGUUUGUUUGCAGAUUCCCCUGGUGUCCACUCUGGGCUUAAAGCAUCUGCAUCCACGAAAAUGAGAAAUUAUAUCCCACCUCCAGGCAGAAAAGGGAAACUUUCUGGGUUUUCUUCUUAAUUGCUUUCUGCUCAGAAUAAUUUUUUAGGUCAAAAACAUUUAUAUAGUGGUGACAUAUACUAGUUUUUUCAAGUGCAACUUACAGAGGAAUGAUUCUCAAAUGUUAGGGUGCACUGGGAUCACCUGGUCGGCUUUUUGUAACGUGGAUUGAUUUCUUGACUCCCCACCCCACCCUGUGAAUUUCUGCUCAGUAGGUUGGAAGUGGGGCUUAAGAAUCAGUAGGUUGAAUAAAUGUGUGCCUGGUUCUGAUGCUGCUGGUCUGGACAGCACAUUUGAGACCCUGGGCAGGCCCUGCUUGCAGAGGGGUCCUCCCUGUACCUUCUCCACACCUCCACCUCCCACUUCCCCGAAUUUUUCUUAAUAAUGUCAUCAGAGACCCAGGUUUCCAAGCACACAGAAUAGUCUCAGUUCCUACUGCAGCGCUUCUUCUUGGUCUGUUCAAUAUUACGAGAGUUUUCUCCAUCAGUCUCUUGAGUGUUUGAACAUCCUGCGAGCAGAGGCACUGACUGCCUUUUAGUUCUGGACUCUCUUUUCAAGGAUGCUUGCGUGAGGAACUGCUUAGGAAAAUCUCUAUACAAUCACCCUCCAGAGCAGUGGGAGGAGAGAUUGCUGUACAACAUAAUAAAGAUGAUGCCUCCCUUUGAGGCAGAGAUUGGGCAGGUUUGCCUGCAGCCCAGUAGAGAAGCUUGGGAUGUCCUGGCCUGGAGGUUCCUCGGCUGUGCUGUAAAUUUGCUGCGUGCACAGCAUCCAUCUAGGCCCAUCCACGAUGAAAGGACAGGGGGAACUGACGCUAGCAUGGAGCUCAUGCUGCCCGCGCUGCCACAAGUGAGAACAUGCUUUGCGUCUGAUCCAAGAUGAUACUGUUCCGCCAGCAUCCAGGACACAGGGGCAGGCUAACUUGUUAGCUCAGAACUAAGGCAAAUCUCAGAUCCUUCAUAGUUCUUAACAUGUACAUUCUCAAAUGUUUUACAGCAAACAUUGUAAAGGCUUUACUCCCCAGAUCUUGAUUUUUCAAUGUCCUUCACCAGUAAAGGCAGGUAGGGUGUCAUGGAGAAAUGGUUGGAAAGAACGAGACUGAAAGCGCACGUCUGACAGCAGAGCUGUGUUCGGAGACUAGUGAAGACCCGCCAGAAGGAUGCAGAGGCAGGGCAAAGGCCCCGACAGGCCCAAUACAGAGCACUCUGGACCUCAGCAAAGAAGAUAAGGGAUUAUACACAUUGGAGAAAAAAGAAUUCAUGAGCCCAAGAGGUACCUUUAAAAAGGCCAGAGGGGUAGUCAGGGAGGGAAAGGUCUUCUUUAGAGAGGAUGCCAGCAGUGAAGUGUAGGCAUGCACAAUUAGAGAACCACCAUCUGCUACCCACAAUGCCACCACUGAGCCAGAAAGAAUCCUCACUGGUGGUCAAAGGCUUUGUUAGGGAGCUGGGUAUCAGGGACAGACCACUUGGCCUGUGACGAUGAAGGAGAAAGGGACCUUUCUCAUGGAGACAUGCCCAGACACCACUUGAACCAAGUGCCCAAACUGACAUUGUGCGUCCCCUAAUGGGAUGCAGUGGGAGGAACUCUACAUCGCCCAGGUGAUGUCCUGGACAAAAAUGUUCAAUCAGAAUUGAAUCACGAGGAAACAAUGAGGCAAAUCUAGAAUGGGGAACACUGCAGGAGACACCUGGCCUGAAGUUUUCCUAAAAGUCAAUGUCUUGAAAGACAAAGAGGGGGAGGGACAGGAGCAGUGUUCUAGAUUGAAGAUAAUAUGGGGGGUGAGGAGUGUUUUCAUUGCCUUGAUGAUGCUGGUGCUUUCAUGCAUUAUACUCAUGUCAGCCCCCGUGAAACUGUGCACCUUAGUUUGUACUUUAUUGCUUGUCAAUCAUACCUUGAUAAAUGUAUGUUUUAAAAGAGUCAGGGAAACUUUUCUAGAUUAAAAUAGCUGAAACAAAAUGAUAAUGUACGAACAUUAAUCGAGAUCUGAAUUUUGAAAAUAAAUUUAAAUAUGGCUUUGCAGCGA